rnacentral:rRNA from 1 species
AACGAACGCUGGCGGCAUGCCUAACACAUGCAGGUCGAACGAUACCUUCGGGUCUAGUGGCGCACGGGUGCGUAACGCGUGGGAACCUGCCCUUAGGUUCGGAAUAACUCCCCGAAAGGGGUGCUAAUACCGGAUAAUGUCUCCGGACCAAAGAUUUAUCGACUUUGGAUGGGCCCGCGUUGGAUUAGCUAGUUGGUAGGGUAAAAGCCUACCAAGGCGACGAUCCAUAGCUGGUCUGAGAGGAUGAUCAGCCACACUGGGACUGAGACACGGCCCAGACUCCUACGGGAGGCAGCAGUGGGGAAUAUUGGACAAUGGGCGAAAGCCUGAUCCAGCAAUGCCGCGUGAGUGAUGAAGGCCUUAGGGUUGUAAAGCUCUUUUACCCGGGAUGAUAAUGACAGUACCGGGAGAAUAAGCUCCGGCUAACUCCGUG